rnacentral:rRNA from 1 species
UUGACCUCGGAUCAUGCAGGAUACCCGCCGAACUUAA